UACGGAGGGUGCGAGCGUUAUCCGGAUUCACUGGGUUUAAAGGGUGCGUAGGUGGGAAUGUAAGUCAGUGGUGAAAUCUCUGAGCUUAACUCAGAAACUGCCAUUGAUACUAUGUUUCUUGAAUUUUUCUGGAGGUCAGCGGAAUAUGUCAUGUAGCGGUGAAAUGCUUAGAUAUGACAUAGAACACCAAUUGCGAAGGCAGCUGGCUACAGGGAUAUUGACACUGAGGCACGAAAGCGUGGGGAUCAAACAGG
rnacentral:rRNA from 1 species